GUGAGGAGCACCAAUUGCUAAGAUUUUAGUUUCUUUUAAAAGCGCUACACCUGCUUCAUUUGGGCGGCGGCUGGUCGAUCAUCAUUUGGCUCUGGGUUCUGUUGUCACUGGGAGAGCCCGCACCCGUAGGCAUAUGUAUUCCCCGGGGAUGUGGAAGCCCUCGUGGGGUUGUUUGGUCCUGCGGUGCGUCUUCUGACCAAGAGCGUAACCGCUUGAGUUUCUGCUGAAGUGCUGGCGUGGGCAUUCUCUCAACUUCUCCCGGCAACUGCUGUACCUAGCCUGUCCGUUUUACUGCUGUUGCCCUUGCUGCUGUCGGCGUAGGCGAUGUGCCUCGCCCAUCGGGUAGCCUGGAUCAACAUAUGUAGGGCCGACGGCCCUUGACGCGCUGCUGUUUUUGUUCUGCCGACAAUUAUUGUGGACGAGUGCGUGCGUGUGGAGAGUGUGUUAAGUGACGCGCGGUGCGCGCUUGGAACUCUCGUGUGGAGAGAGUGUUUGGUGACGCGCGUGGUUGCGCGCUGAC